UAGACAUUUCUGCCUGGGAAAUCAGAGU
rnacentral:piRNA from 1 species